AGUGAACGCUGGCGGUAGGCCUAACACAUGCAAGUCGAACGGCAGCACAGUAAGAGCUUGCUCUUACGGGUGGCGAGUGGCGGACGGGUGAGGAAUACAUCGGAAUCUACUUUUUCGUGGGGGAUAACGUAGGGAAACUUACGCUAAUACCGCAUACGACCUACGGGUGAAAGCAGGGGAUCUUCGGACCUUGCACGAUUGAAUGAGCCGAUGUCGGAUUAGCUAGUUGGCGGGGUAAAGGCCCACCAAGGCGACGAUCCGUAGCUGGUCUGAGAGGAUGAUCAGCCACACUGGAACUGAGACACGGUCCAGACUCCUACGGGAGGCAGCAGUGGGGAAUAUUGGACAAUGGGCGCAAGCCUGAUCCAGCCAUACCGCGUGGGUGAAGAAGGCCUUCGGGUUGUAAAGCCCAUUUGUUGGGAAAGAAAAGCAGCAGGUUAAUACCCCGCUGUUCUGACGGUACCCAAAGAAUAAGCACCGGCUAACUUCGUG
rnacentral:rRNA from 1 species